GACGAACGCUGGCGGCGUGCUUAACACAUGCAAGUCGAACGCUGAAGCUCAGCUUUUGUUGGGUGGAUGAGUGGCGAACGGGUGAGUAACACGUGAGUAACCUGCCUCCUUCUUUGGGAUAACGCCCGGAAACGGGUGCUAAUACUGGAUAUUCACUGGUCUUCGCAUGGGGGCUGGUGGAAAGGGCUUUUUUGGUGGGGGAUGGGCUCGCGGCCUAUCAGCUUGUUGGUGGGGUGAUGGCCUACCAAGGCUUUGACGGGUAGCCGGCCUGAGAGGGUGACCGGUAACAUUGGCACGGAGAUACGGCCCAGGGUACUACGGGGUGGAGCAGUGGGGACUAUGGCACAAUGGGCGAAAGCCUGAUGCAGCGACGGCGCGGGAGGGAUGGGGGCCUUCGGGUUGUGUACCUAUGGAGCUAAUGGUCAGGCCGCAACAAUGGUUGUGGUGAGGGUAGUGGGUAAAGAAGCGCCGGCUAACUACGUG
rnacentral:rRNA from 1 species